AACGGCCAUACCAUGCUGAAUAUACCGGUUCUCGUUAGUUCACCGAAGUCAAGCAUCAUUGGGCGCGGUCAGUACUUGGGUGGGUGACCACCUGGGAACACCGCGUGCCGUU
rnacentral:rRNA from 1 species